AUGACACAUUAUCCUAUCUAGUUUAUAAGAAAAAUAUUGUGAAACAAAAAACCUAAAAAAGUGGCUUUAAUUCCUUCUACUAUAUUAUUUAAAAGUAAUGAUUUAGCAGAAUUAACACUUGAGACAUUAUAUGUUAUCGUUAAACAUUUAUUCAGAUAUGGGGUCAAGGGAGUUGAAAAAAAGAUCAUGUUAUGCUCAAAUUAAAUUACACACCACGUGACGACACAAUCAAAAUGAAAUUGGGGGAACUUCCUGCGUCGUACGUCAAAUUAUUGGUAGACACGGAGAAAGAGCUGAUCAUUUUAAAAGGUGCGAUGAGUAAAUUUAAAUUCGAUUUGAGGCCGCAAAAGGAGGAGGAGGAAAAGUUGAUUGGCUGCAAUGGUGGUGGAUGUGAAUCAUCAGCAGUGGCGGUAAAAAAGAGAAAGAUUAAUAUUUUGAAGAACAAAAUUAUCUUACCGUUUACACCUUCAUCUUCAUCAUGAUUGACAGCAUUUCAGGAGGUUUGGGAUGUUGAUGCUGAAGAUUUUGAAAGUCAAAAAUUUUGCGUCUUGUAAUCAGAAUUAUUUUGUAAUAAAUAGAUAUUUUAUAUUAUUAUUAUUAUUA